rnacentral:rRNA from 1 species
GAUGAACGCUGGCGGCGUGCUUAACACAUGCAAGUCGAACGGGAAACCUUUUAUUGAAGCUUCGGCAGAUUUAGCUGGUUUCUAGUGGCGGACGGGUGAGUAACGCGUGGGUAACCUGCCUUAUACAGGGGGAUAACAACCAGAAAUGGUUGCUAAUACCGCAUAAGCGCACAGGACCGCAUGGUCCGGUGUGAAAAACUCCGGUGGUAUAAGAUGGACCCGCGUUGGAUUAGCUAGUUGGCAGGGUAACGGCCUACCAAGGCGACGAUCCAUAGCCGGCCUGAGAGGGUGAACGGCCACAUUGGGACUGAGACACGGCCCAGACUCCUACGGGAGGCAGCAGUGGGGAAUAUUGCACAAUGGGGAAACCCUGAUGCAGCGACGCCGCGUGAAGGAAGAAGUAUCUCGGUAUGUAAACUUCUAUCAGCAGGGAAGAUAGUGACGGUACCUGACUAAGAAGCCCCGGCUAACUACGUG